UCUGCCGUUGCUCCCCUCUCUCUCCCCCAAUUUCCCCAUCAUCCCUCUCUCUCUCACACCAUUAUUCCCUCUCUCUGACAGUCCCGCCAUUUCUCCCGUCUUUUUAUCUCGGCCAUUUCCCCUCUCUCCCUCAAUCUCUCUCCUGCCAUUAUCCCUCUCUCUCUCAUAGUCUCCACUAUUAUCAGAAGUCUCUCUCUCUCCCAUUAUCCGUCUUUUCCAUUCUCGACGAAGGCUUCAUCUUCUCCACAGAGACAGCAGCAACAGCGUCUCUACUGCUCUACAGUACUCCCACCACACAAAGGUGAGUUUGUAGACUUUACCUCUGAAUUUUUUUUUUUGGAUUUUUUUUUUGGUUAAUAUGAUAUUGUUUGUAGGCUUCACCUCUGUUCUUACAUUGAAACUCUUCCGCCCCCUGUAACUCUGUUUUUUUGGGAUGUUUUUCUUUCUUGAAACUCCUAUUUUUUAUGUGAAAACACUUUACAGGUCAUAGUUUUGUAGGAGCCCAAAGAUGGGCACUGUUGUAAAACGAAGAGAGCAGUACGCGAUACAAUUAGGUUUCAUCCCCCUGCAUUUUCAUCGUACGGAAGAUAUGCUCCAUUUCUUCAAUGUUUCCCUCACUUCCAAACGUUUCUAUAAUUGAAUUAAAACUCACGGUUGUUUUUGAGAAAUGCCAACUCCUAUCAUUUUCUCUUCCAUUCCAUUGGAUCAAAAUAUUAAGAGUUUGGGUAUGGACCCACGUGUUUGUUAGGUUUAUAUGGUCUUUAAAGGCUUUAUGCCCGUGUAUUUGUUAGGUUUAUAUGGUUUUUAAAGGCGUAUUGAAAUAUUUUUAUUAUAGUGAAAUAUAAACUUAGCGGGAGUAUGGUCCCUCAAAGACCAUAUUAAGUGAAUGAUGUUUGUUUAUACCGGACUGUGCUUAUCGAUCUAGGCCAGUCAGUUGAAAAAUCCAAGGUACCUGGGCAUAACGAAUUAACCGAAAAGGGUUUUAGGUUAGCCCUUAUGAGGUCAGAGCUCAUGCCUAGAUGAGUGAGCCGAGGGACCGUCUGACCCUUGUAUGUGAUGAUAGGCCUAUUGAGACGGGGGUUAAAACCUCAUCCAUGUUCCAUCACAUGGUAUGCAUAUCGAUAGAUCGUUCGGGAAAGCCAGUUAUCCACCUUUGGGUAAAGCGUAUGCAUGUGCAAGAGAUACCCCUAUGCACCAUAGAGUUGUGUCGCAUCAAGUCGUCCUGACCUUGACUCGUCUCUAGAGGAGAACUUGUAAUCCACAGAUUGGGAUUGUGACCCCUUGAUUCAUCGACCUGACUUUGGUGACCUGCUAAUGAGCCUCUAAUUGGACUGUAGGUCAUGAGAAACACUGGGUCGGUUCGAUAAAGUUAAUGUGGUUUGUAGUCCACAGUUGAAGAUGGAGUACCCCAUUAUUG
rnacentral:lncRNA from 1 species